GUACUUGCAGAGUACAUAAACUAAAAUUGGAAAGAUAUAGAGAAGAUUAGCAUGGUCCCUGUUCACAAUGGUUACAUACUUUGCGGGCUUUAAAAACACGACUUUUAU